CUGUAAUUUUUUUUGACUCCUUUGGUCUUCUGUCCAAGGAAAAAUUAAAUAUAAAUAUUUGCUAUACAACAUUAAUAUGAAAAUGUUAAUCUAAAAAAGACUUUUAUAAAACUUUGUAUGUAUUUAACUACUUGCAAGGCAAGGAAAAGGGAGGUAACCAUAAUUUAAAAAUCAAUUGUGUAGAAGACAAAGUUUUUUUCAAUGAUGUAAGCAAUUUCUGUUAUGGUUAUGUCUGCUCUCUCCUCUAAACCGGUCAUCUAUUUACAAUAAUGUUUUAAAUAUAUCUUUAUAGUAUAGAUAUAUAUAUUUGAUAGCUAUGUCAUGUAGAUUUACUAGUGUCAUCUUUUGUAACCUUCAAAACUUGGAAAUCACCUAACCUUAAAGAUGUAUAAGAGAAAAUUGAUUAUAGAAUGAUAGAACCAAUUUUACUAAAGCUUGAGCAUUCUGAAAUUUGUUACCAAAAUAAUCAAUGUUUUGACAGUAGCUUUGAGCAGAAAAAAACACUGCCAUUGAUAUAAAAAAAAAAUUCUGACAAGUUUCAAUUUAAUGUUUUACAUAAGCUAUUUAGAAUAACUGAUAGCUGCUAAAAUAGUAUUUGCUCUUGCAAAAUUUA
rnacentral:lncRNA from 1 species